UGGGCUGCUUUCUGCUUCAAAAAGGGAUAAAAUGUGUUGUUUCUGAGACUUAAAGAAGCAGUGGACUUCGCAUUUAUGUUUGCGGUGGUGGCUGUUAAAGGUUAUUUGCUGUGAAUGAUAGUGAAAGCCCUAUCAAUUUGAGGUACUAAUAUUUUUUUGUAUUUCUUGCAUCUAAUUUCUAUAUAAAAUAAAAUAAAAAUUGGGUCCCAUUUCAAGAACUUAAAUACACACUACGUAUAUACAACUGUAGAUAGAGACUCAUAACCUCUCUUCAAAGCAAAGUCUCUCUCUCUCCCUCUCUCUCUAGAGUAAGCUUCAUAUCUUCUCUUCAGAUCUAGUCCAAGCAAUUGGAGCCUUGAAGAGAAAUUCUCGAUUAUUUUCCAACAAUAUACAAUUCUAUAGUUGAAAAGUAAAAUUAGUUUGUAGCUUUGGUUCUUUUGUUUCUUACUUAUUUGCCCUUCACUUUCACUAUAUUACCCUGUUUAUCAUAUCUCACACUCACUAGUAAUUCAUAUUGUUUUUCAGUUUGGUUGUGUUAGUUUUCUUCACUUUGUUUUCGUUUUCCAUGUUUUCAGAGACAAAAUCAAUAAAAAGUUCCAAAACAACCUUUUAAUAGUUCCUUAAAAGUGGGUUAUUUUCAAAACAAUUUUUUUUUAUAAUCAAAUUCUGUUUGGUUGUGUUUUUGUUUUCCAUGUUUUUGAGAACAAAAACAACAGAAAGUUCAUAAAACAUCCACCCUUUUUUCAAAAAAUUUUUUUUGCCAAACUUGUUUGAGAUUCAGAAACAACUUUUGACUCUCUCCUAAAAUGUGAGCUAUUAAAAA